rnacentral:rRNA from 1 species
UGGGAGCAAACCAGAUUAGAUACCCUGGUAGUCGCCGCCCUAAACGAUGAUCAUUAGCUGAUGGAAAAUUCAUCGGCGCAGCUAACGCAUUAAAUGAUCCGCCUGAGUAGUACGUUCGCAAGAAUAAAACUUAAAGGAAUUGACGGGGAUCCGCACAAGCGGUGGAGCAUGUGGUUUAAUUUGACGAUACGCGUAGAACCUUACCCACUCUUGACAUCUUCCGCAACGCUAUAGAGAUAUAGUUGAGGUUAACAGAGUGACAGAUGGUGCAA